AUUGAACGCUGGCGGCAGGCCUAACACAUGCACGUCGAACGAGUGGCUGACGGGUGCGUAAUGUCUGGGAAACUGCCCGAUGGCGGGGGAUAACUACUGGAAACAGUAGCUAAUACCGCAUCCCAUCGGAUGUGCCCAGAUGGGAUUAGCUAGUAGGUGGGGUAACGGCUCACCAAGGCGAACAUCCCUAGCUGGUCUGAGAGGAUGCCCAGCCACACUGGAACUGAGAGACGGUCCAGACUCCUACGGGAGGCAGCAGUGGGGAAUAUUGCACAAUGGGCGCAAGCCUUAUGCAGCCAUGCCGCGUGUAUGAAGAAGGCCUUCGGGUUGUAAAGUACUUGCAGCGAGGAGGCGGUACUCGCAGAAGAAGCACCGGCUAACUCCGUGCCAGCAGCCGCGGUAAUAC
rnacentral:rRNA from 1 species